UAGGAGGUUUCUCAGAAGGUCCGGCUGCAUUCGGUACUAUACUAUAGUCUAUAUAUACUGCAGUAUAUUUUACUUUAAUUAACGGCAUAGUUUAAUUAAAUUCAUAAAGUAUACGAAGUAACGAAGUCUGAAAUUAACAGUGCCCUAUAAUAUACGAAGUCUGAAAUUAAUGCCCACUCAGAAGCAAGCAAGAAAACGUUCAUGGCUUCAUGGCUCAUGGGAAUGUUUUCUCAUGUCUAUAUAUGUCAAACGAAAACAAACAUAGGCGUACGGGAC